rnacentral:misc_RNA from 1 species
CUUGUAUACAUAUAUAAAUAAUUGAAAAAAAUGCUUAUAUUUAAACUUCUACAUAUUAUUAUUUUAAUUUUUGCAUAUAUCGUAAAUGGCAAUGAACUUGAAUUUUGCGAAGUAUCUGAUAAAUAUGCCGAAAAUUCGGAAAAGUGUUCUGUUAGAAACAACUUUGCGCAAAAACGUUACAUCCUUUACGAUAUAAAUCCUCCAGAAGGUUUCAACCUGAGAAGAGAUGUGUAUGUUCGUCUUGCUGUUUUUCUUAAAAGAUUAAUUGAAAGAGACAAAGAAUAUCAGUGGCAAUUAGUUUUACCACCAUGGGGUAAUUUAUAUCAUUGGCAACGUCAGAAUACAGAAUUUCAAAAGUAUAUAUUCUGGAAUACUUUUUUUGAUAUAACAAGUCUGCAACGAUAUAUACCAGUUAUUGAAAUGUAUAAAUUUCUGGAAGAGUAUUCAUCUGGAAACAAAGAAAUACAACUCGAUUGUGUGUAUAUUUUGCAAAAUGAUGAAGAAAUGUUCAAAACUGGUAAAUUUGAAGAUAAGAAUGAAAUAGUAGACUGUUCUCAAGAUUUUUUGCAGAACUAUAAAUCAAAACAAUACAUAUACACUAGUCCUUUUUGGGGCUACAGUAAUAUUACAACUCAAAAUGUAAAAUGUCUCAAGUUUCAUGGCACAGCAUCUUAUCUUUAUCAAAAUCUCAAACCGACCAAAUAUAGAUCUAUAAUGUUUGAUCAUAUGGAGAUUGCCUUGCAUGAUGAAUAUGGCUCUAAAGAAUACUGGAAGGCCAGACGCAGCAUGCGAUAUAAUUCCGAAUUGUAUAAUAUUGCGAAAAAUUAUAGAAAAUCUUUUUUGAAUUCCACAGAUGAAAAUGAUAACACAGAUCGACCUGCAGAUUGGACUAAAGAAAAGAGUCGGCGAAAUGCAAAGGGCGGUCCAUAUUUAGCAGUCCAUCUUAGAAGACGUGAUUUUAUCGUAGGCCAUAAAAAGUCAGUACCGAAUAUAAAGAAUGCUGCUUCUCAAUUGCAAGAAAAAAUGGAUAAGCUUGGACUAACUGUGUUGUUUGUUGCGACAGAUGGAGAACAACAUGGUAUUUCUAGAAUUUGAAGAACUUAAGUCAUAUUUGCCUCAAUACAAAGUCUUGAAAUUUGUACCGUCUGAUUAUGUGAUCAGUAAAUUUAAAGAUGGUGGAAUUGCCAUUAUUGAUCAGAUAAUUUGUUCAUAUGCCAGAUAUUUCAUAGGGACACAUCAAUCAACGUUUACAUAUAGAAUACAAGAAGAUAG